AGCAGUAGCCGCGGUAAUACGUAGGGUGCAAGCGUUAAUCGGAAUUACUGGGCGUAAAGCGUGCGCAGGCGGUUAUAUAAGACAGAUGUGAAAUCCCCGGGCUCAACCUGGGAACUGCAUUUGUGACUGUAUAGCUAGAGUACGGCAGAGGGGGAUGGAAUUCCGCGUGUAGCAGUGUAAUGCGUAGAUAUGCGGAGGAACACCGAUGGCGAAGGCAAUCCCCUGGGCCUGUACUGACGCUCAUGCACGAAAGCGUGGGGAGCAAACAGGAUUAGAUACCCCGGUAGUCCCUGUCUCUUAUAA
rnacentral:rRNA from 1 species